rnacentral:rRNA from 1 species
AGAGUUUGAUCAUGGCUCAGGACGAACGCUGACGGUGUGCUUUAGGCAUGCAAGUCGAACGAGAAAGCCCUUCGGGGUGAGUAAAGUGGCGAACGGGUGAGUAACACGUGGGCAACCUGCCCCUCGCAGGGGGACAACCGGAGGAAACUCCGGCUAAUACCCCGUACGCUUGUUGGAUCGCAUGGUCCGGCAAGGAAAGGUAGCUUCGGCCAUCCGGCGAGGGAUGGGCCCGCGUUGCAUUAGCUAGUUGGUGGGGUAACGGCCUACCAAGGCGACGAUGCGUAGCUGGUCUGAGAGGAUGAUCAGCCACACUGGGACUGAGACACAGCCCAGACUCCUACGGGAGGCAGCAGCCAGGAAUCUUGGGCAAUGGGCGAAAGCCUGACCCAGCAACACCGUGUGGGCGAUGAAGGCCUUAGGGUCGUAAAGCCCUGUUGAUAGGGACGAAGGGCGAAGGGUUAAUAGCCCCUAGCUUGACGGUACCUUUCGAGGAAGCCCCGGCUAACUACGUGCCAGCAGCCGCGGUAAUACGUAGGGGGCGAGCGUUGUCCGGAAUUAUUGGGCGUAAAGAGCGUGUAGGCGGUUCGGUAAGUCUGCUGUGAAAUCCUGGGGCUCAACCCUGGGCGUGCAGCGGAUACUGCCGGGCUAGAGGGUGGUAGAGGCGAGUGGAAUUCCGAGUGUAGCGGUGAAAUGCGCAGAUAUUCGGAGGAACACCAGUAGCGAAGGCGGCUCGCUGGGCCACACCUGACGCUGAGACGCGAAAGCGUGGGGAGCGAACAGGAUUAGAUACCCCCGUAGUCC